GGAGUUGGAGCGGCGAAGAGUACUCGAAGAGGCCAGCACGGCGGACGAGUGAAAGUUAGCUGCCUACACGAAUACUGGUUUCGAAGUGUCUCUGCUUACUUGAAAAUGUGUUUGUGUUCACGUACGUUUUUGAAUCCAAAUAUUAAUAAAUUUCCCAUCAGUAUGUUGGAUGUUUAACCAGAUAUUUCGACGAAUGGAUGAAAAUUAACUUCGAUCGUAAUAUUUGAAGAUUCACCUAUCAUUCACGAACGACAAAACGUUAUUUAAUAAUUAUAACCUCAAACAGAAAAAUUUAAUAAUUUUAACAUUUGUCCAACGUAUAAAUGUUUCCAUUCCAACAAGAUUCUUCAAUUAAAAGAAGAAAGACGAGGUCACCGUUAAAUUAUCGAACUCUCUCUUGUUUUUGUCGAAAAUCCUUCCAAUUUUCCUCGGCGGAAGCUGGUGGAAUAACUGGUGAAGAAGUGUUAUAAAAACCUUGGAGGAAGCGGAUCACGAUGGAAGGAAGGCACGGAUGGAUAAGAAAUAUAGGGAGAGGAAAGUAGAGAUAAAGCGAAUCGAGGCAUAAAAUGGCUCUCGGCUCUCUCGAAACUUGUCGAGUAAUGUAUUUCUAUUUGCCGACAUUGGCACCCAUGCGGCCGGCCCGUUCCAAGCGCAACCGACUCUUAUUUAUCCGUGGAACCGCCGACCAUGCGAGAGCCAACAAAUCAAAAUCGACAAAGGGAAGCUGUCGGCGCUUCGCUCGUGGCCGACGUGGUGAAGAGUGGCCCGAAGAAGAAACAUUUGUACGAGUAAAUCAACCGGGGAAUGGUACGUGCUUCCCGAACAAUGGAUACCUUGUCGGAGUGGGGGAGGGGGAAGGAGGGAAUUCCGCCAAGGAACGAACGCCUAAGAGGCCUGUUUAUUCCCGAUUGAUUAAAGGCGGAAAGCGGAGAGGAGCAGGAGAUCGCGUGAAAAAUGGAAUUGGGAUUACAGGCUGGAGAGAAGGAGAGAUGAAAUUUUUUUAACUAUUUUAAAAAAAAGUUAAUUGUCAAUUUAAUCGCUUCGAAAUGAACAUUUCGCUAUGAAACUCAGGAUUAUUAAGUAGAUGUAUUUUGAGAAUCGUGUAGAAUGUUUUUAGAAAGAGAUUGUUCUUUGUUAUUUAUAUUCUUUGGAUGUAUCCAUUUGAUACUCAAAUUUUAUAUAUUCAUUCAAAAGGAUAAAUUUAGCAAUAAAUAUAAUCUGCUCUUGUUAAUCUAAAAUCAGUGCAAAAAGAAAAAUUUCUAUUAUCAUUUAUUAUCAAUUUUCAAAAUUAUAGUCCAAGUAUCUACCAAAAGUCUGUGCAAAAGUUAAGAAUUAAUUUCUGUCUUAUUAAUUAUCAACCAUCCAAAAACAUUCAUGCACCAUUCAGUCCAAGAUCAGUUAUUGUGCAAAAAUUAAAAAAAACCUAAUUUUUUUUUUGUAAAUAAAGAAAAGGAUAUAUAACGCAUCGAAGGGAAAAAAAGAACAGAAAUGAGAGAAAGAGGAAGAGGAGGAAAGGGAGCAUUUGUUCAGACGGACGGAUGAAUAUGGCGGAGAGCGUGCAAGCUGUGGCGGAGGCUCGGUGUGGGCAGUACGGUAACCUUCCAGGACAAUGGGUAUCUUGUCGAAGGAUCUACGGGUUAGCGGCAAGAUAAUAGAACGCGGCAGUGUCCGAGGUGGUAGUAUAAACCUGGAUCGCAGAAGGUGGAGUCACCUGUAAAAUGUCGGCACAAUGCCCGACCACGUCACAGGUGUCUCGCGCCGUGAAAGUCCGCCAAGGGUGCGUCGUCAACCGGUGCCCACGUAUCCACGGGACAAUGAGUAAACAGCCGUUGGAUCGAUUGGACGCGUUGUAAUUGCCCCGCCCGAUCCGAUAUUAGUCGUUUAAUUUAUCGGCGACUCGCUCAUGGUUCGACCGAUCGACAUUUCAACUCUGGUAAUUUUAAUCCAAGAUCUCUGAAUUCCUGAGCGAGCUGCAUAAGAUACUUAUAAUUUUCUCAAUAAAAGAAGCUUAAGGAUUGAUCAUCAACGAUUUGGAGCGUAUUAAUCUUUUAAUUGCAGUUUAUAAACUAAAAUUAUAGUCAAAGGCAGUUCUUCAAGAAAAAGGCACGUUGAUCAAAAUAUUGACUAAUAUGAAGCUUUAAUGAAGUCUAAAUUUUAAAGUUUCUAGGGAUGAUCUAAAAGUACCCACAGUUAAAGGAUUAAGAAAAGAGGUCGCAAGAAUUCUCCGAACCCCUGUCACGAAUUCAGAAUCAGAAGCGAGAUAUCUCUCGGAGCGGUGGAAGAAAAAAUUCUCUUCCACAAAGGGAAAGAACAUUGGCCAGGAAUCAAAUCGUGGAAACGGAUCUCGCGCGAUGGCAAUCCAUCAAACGGCGGAGAGAAGAGAGAGAGAGAGGCCGCCUACCGUUACGUAGCAUUCCAAAGGGAGUGUAGCAGCGGUAUCUGCGAAGAUGGAGGCCCGAUACGCACCCGAUAAUACCGAAGGAUGAAUCAUCGGACGGUGGAGGAAGUGGCCGCGGUGAAAAUGUCCGGUUUAGGGGAAGGGGCGGGGGGUGGCGAAACUCUUUCGUGGUCGCGCUAACGAAGAGGGUUGCCGGGUGCCGAUAGACGAUCUGAGCACGGCUGCUACGUCUCGGAUCGAGCAUCGCAUCUGCCAUUAGCAUUCGGCUCCAACCUCUCCUCUCGCCUCGAUGGUGCGACGUCCGCUGUUUAGAUUCGAUCCUCGGCCGGCUAGUCGUGUGCACGAUUCCAUCAAAACGUACCAGCUGAUCAGGAUGCGCUCACUCGUCCACCACGGUUAAUUUAUCUCGUCCCCUCCUCCUGGCCUCUGCCUUCUGCCUUCUGCCGGACGGCUACCGCCCUCUAUUUCCGCCCCGGGAUCGAGAUAUCGGAUCGAUGCUUUCUCGUUUUCGAGAGAGAGAGAGAGAGACGAGUGGAAGGAGAAUUCGUGAUUUUUAACGAGAGGAGAAUCGAUUAAGACUUCUUUUUUUUUUUUUUAUUGAGUCAUCGAAUCGAGUCCUCGUUGAUGAGAAGAGACAAACUUGGAGUCUUAACUAAAUUGAUGAGAUAUGUGUUUCUAAUGGAGAAUCAGAUUUAUUCUUUUUAUUUUUUUUUUAUCAGAAGAGUAUGCCGUUCGAAAAAUAAUUGGCCAAGAUCGAAUCACUUGACACUUGAAGAAGACAAAUUCGAGCAAAGUGUUAACCGAAUUGAUAAAAUUAUUGACAUUUUAUAAUAUAGUAAUCCGAAUCGAAACGAAGAUUUUUCAACGUUUACGCUCGGUCGAUAUAGAGGAAAUUCACUUAUAAAUUUUUAAAUCAUUCUUUUUCAUUCACUAUAUAAUCUAUAUAAUCUCGUCUGAAGAUAUUACUAUCAGAAUAAUAAGUAUAAAUAGAAACUUUUUUUUAUUCCUUGAAUAAUUUCGUAUAAAUUUUUUUUCGCGCGACUUUUUAUUUACUUGCUAUCUAACCUGCUUCUCCAAUCGCGAAUCAGGAUAAUAAUAUAAAUUUUUUCCUCGAAUACUUCAUCGAUUUCGCUAAACAAAAUGUAAGAAAAAAUUCUCUCCCUCUCUCUCUCUCUCUUGAAAAACAACUGGAUGCUUGAAACGAAAGUUGAGAGAAGAGGUUAGAAACGCGGAGCAACACGUGUGCGCGUGGAAAACGUUCCAUUAACGCGAUCCACGCGGCGCGGCUCGGCAUAAAACCACGCCACGACGAGGCCCCGGGUCGAAGUUGCAUCGAUGCGUGGCUCGGUGAAACAGUAUAUCCAUAAUGCAUCUACCACGUCCCGAGCAACUUCCAUCUCGCGACCCGCGCCACGGAUACCCGUCUCUCGAUUCCACCUCGAAUCGAGUUUUACACACACACAUCACACACGCAUGCACGUAACGUUUACACUUACACGUUCCUCGUGCCCCGAUAAAAGCCUCGUUGCGCGCUAAUAAACGCGAGGGGCAACGAUCAGAGCCUCCUCAACGUCCGCCUCGGAUCCGUCGAUGUCGAUGCCGAUUCGACGAGCCCUUAAUGGUACGUGGAAACGAUUUGGAUCGGCGAUCCAAAGCGCAAGUUGAUUUAAUAACGAAACGCCGCUUGUCUGGGGAUGUGGGAGGGAAUAUAUAUGUAUGUAUAUAUAAUGUUGAGAUAGAUUUUAUUUUAUUCUCAGGUGAAGUCUCGAAAGAAGAGGGAGUUUGAGAGAAAUUGUGGAAACUCUGCUCGUGCGAAAUUGGUUACAGCGGUGUUUGAGGAUUGGAAAAUUGAAGAAUUUCUUGGAGUGAAGUUAUUUUACUUUAGAUGGUGAUAAGUGAUAAUGGAGAAAUCUUGUGAUCGAGAAAUCAAUGAUUCGUUUCGAGCGAAAAUUAUUUUAAUAGAAUUGCAUCUAUUUAUGGGAAGUAAUACGAAAUUUCCAUCGAAAAGGAAGUUUA
rnacentral:lncRNA from 11 species